rnacentral:lncRNA from 1 species
GAUAGAUAGAUAGAUAGAUAGAUAGAUAGAUAGAUAGAUAGAUAGAUAGAUAGAUGGAUAGAUAGGAAAGAGAAAUAGACGGAAGGAAUACGAAUAGACACAAGACUGCGAUGGAAAGGGAGGAAGAGGAUGAGACUGAAUAAUAUCGGAGAUGAGAGGACGAGAGUGAGAGAGAGAGAGAGAGAGAUGGAGGAAGGAAGAAGAGAUGAGAAAAGAAAAAAAAAAUGUCAGCAACUUCCACCUGACAUUUGUCAUCCUAGAUAUCGUAACACUCCACAAUGAUUUGGUUGAAAGCAACAGAGAAAAGGAUAAACAGAGAGAAAAGAAAAGAAAAAAGGUCGACUGGUAGAAAGGUGUUGUACUUACGGUCUUCGCAGCUGAUAUCGAUGUAUUUAAUGCACAUCACAAGCCACUCCAAGGUGACCACUACACGCUAAAAACGAAGGUUAAGGAAAGAACUUCUAGAAGGGAGAUGUUCUGGAGACUGAGGAUUAGAAGCUGAUUAUUGUCGGGUUUAUGGAGAGGCGGGAAAGUGCAGUAUAAAUGACAAGUUGCAGGAAAUACGAUUGAGUCGAAGAGGUUUGAGUUGAAGUUGUGCGAAACUAGCAGGAAGCGAAAAGUAGUGCCCAUUUAAUAGAAAGGAAAGGAAAUAGCAAGUCUGUGGGUCAGGGGGAUGAAGUAUACUUAACGAUUCGAUGAUAAGUGGCCAAUAAAAUGAAUUACUGUACUGAGAUUGUUAACAUUGAGUAAAAUUCCUGAAGGCACUGCUGCAGUAUCACUACAGUCUGAUAUCUAAAGAAUCAGAAACUUAGCAAGGAACAAAGAAAAGACAUUUCGGGAGAAAUGCAAUUUUAUAACAUCCCUUUAUUUUUAAUGCUACAAAUAAUGCAUAAUCUUUAUCAACAGGUGUCAAAAUCAUUCAGUCAAAUACACUGUUAAUUUUUU